GGCGGUGGUUAGUGGUUAGAGCGUAGGACUCGCAACCGAAAGAUUGCGGGAUCGAAUCCCGCUAGAGGCUG
rnacentral:tRNA from 1 species